CGAUGACUAAGUUAAAUCUUUCCUGCUUACUGAAAAGGAAGAGUCUGAUGAUUAGCUAUUGAUCCUCUUUGCAUUUGUAAAGUUUUGGAGAUAUUGAAUCAUGUUACCAUUUCUGUUUUUUUCCACCCUAUUUUCUUUCAUAUUUACUGAAGCUCAGAAGCACUACUGGGUCUGCAACUCAUCCGACGCAAGUAUUUCAUACACCUACUGUGAUAAAAUACAAUACCCAAUUUCAAUUAAUGUUAAUCCCUGCAUACAAUUGAAGGGAUCCAGAGGAUUGUUGCACAUUUUCUACAUUCCAAGGAGAGAUGUAAAGCAAUUAUAUUUCAAUCUCUCUAUAACUGUCAACUCCAUGACUCUUCCAAAGCGCAAAGAAGUUAUUUGCCGAGGAUCUGAUGAUGAUUAUUCUUUUUGCAGAGCUCUGAAGGGAGUUGUCCACACUGCUGCUAUGUGUCAGGCUUGUGCUAGGAUCUGGGAACAGAGAGAUGAAUAAAACGUGGUCCCUCAGUCUUCAGCAGCUCAUAAAGAACUGGGGAAAACAGAGUUGCAAGGAACUCACAAUUUACAUGUUGAAGCCCUACCUCCUGAUAUAACUACUGGGAAAUAAAAGUAAAAUUCUAAGCCCCUCAACUGAGUGAACAGACCUUCCCUUGGCCAUAGCAACCCCAGAAUAACCUUGAAAAUGGUUCUCAGCCAUGAUGGUAUGAGAGGUUGGACACACCUUAUUAUACCUGCUCCCUCACUAACAGCCAUUAGGCCUUCUUCCCUACAGGCUGAAUAGAAACCAGCCCUCUCAAAAGACUCUGCUGCUGAUAUCAACCAACCAUCUGAUGCUGCCCCUCCCUUUUGCAGUUUCGGUGCAACAACAGAUCAGCAUUUCUUCCUGAUGAGAGACAAUUGACCAUGGAGUUGUUCUGGCCAAUCUACGGAGAAUGUGCAGUGAAGGUUUUCAUGUCAUCUGCUUCAUCUUUUGAUGCCAGAAGGCCUGAAACUCCACCCUGGGAUUAUGCUAACACUGCCAUUUUUUGUACACAGGACCCAUGAAGAGGCACGAAGCUCAAUUGUACAUGUGCAUGUUUUUCCUUUUGUAAAUAUUAAUGACUCCUCCUAUAAUCUGUUGAAUAUGUACACUUAACCACCCAACUUACCAUAUGUUUCUGUUCCCUUUUCCCCCUCCCUUGAAGUAUCUGUUUUUGGCUUCUGACCAGAGGCUACACUUCCCAGCCUCUGGGAAUGGCCACCCUGCAGGCUGAAACUCUU